rnacentral:misc_RNA from 1 species
GAUGAAGAACGUAGCGAAAUGCGAUACGUAAUGUGAAUUGCAGAAUUCAGUGAAUCAUCGAGUCUUUGAACGCACAUUGCGCCCCCUGGUAUUCCGGGGGGCAUGCCUGUCCGAGCGUCAUUGCUGCCCUCAAGCCCGGCUUGUGUGUUGGGUCUCGUCCCCCUUACCGGGGGGACGGGCCCGAAAGGCAGCGGCGGCACCGUGUCCGGUCCUCGAGCGUAUGGGGCUUUGUCACCCGCUCUGUAGGCCCGGCCGGCGCUUGCCGAUCAACCAAAACUUUUUUCCAGGUUGACCUCGGAUCAGGUAGGGAUACCCGCUGAACUUAAGCAUAUCAAUAAGCGGAGGA